rnacentral:tRNA from 1 species
CAAAAAAUAGUUUAUAUUAAAAUAAUAAUUUUGGGGAUUAUAGAUAAAGGAAUUCCUUUUUUUUUGA